UCCCUGUUCAACCCCAACCCUAAGGUCUCUCCUCACACAGCGUCUCUCUUGCCGCCUCCCUCACUCUCCGGUGGAGUGGAGAGAGAAGUCGCUUUCCGUCGAGUCCUGGUCGGCGCCGUUCUCGUCGGAGCCAUUCUCGUCGGUGCCGUCUCUCCUCCUCGAGUCUUUAUCGCCGUCUGCCCCUCGCCGCGUACUUCCUCUGCUCGUUCCGCCAUUGUCGCAGAUCGUCGCAUCCCCGUCCAGAUAUGCCGUUGCUCGCAUCGCGUCGUUCUUUUCUCAGCGUCGCCUCCUGUGGUAACUUCUCCGGUAACAACAACAACAACAGUCUUCCGGUUAAGCUGAUUUUCUCCUUCAGUCAAGACUUCCCUAGCUCUUGGGAGAUUCCUAUAAAGACCCCAUUACUAGUUUCCGUCUCUUCCACAAAUUCUCUGUUGAACACCCUCAGGCAAGUUCUAACUCUUAAACACUCCCCCUCUUGAUUUAGGUAAUUUGAUUACGUGUCCUGUUAUUGGUGCAGGAGUAUUGGUCCAUUGUUCUUAAGGAACAAUCAGUUUCAUUCAUUGAAGCUCCAAGGUGCAUUUGGAUACUUCUGAUCCCACAAAGCCUGGAGGAACUUGGCUUCCUGGAGCUGUCUUGAAUAUCGCUUAUUGCUGCUUGCAGCCGAGCACACGCCCCUACAAACCAGAUGACAGUUUAGCCAUUGUCUGGAGGGAUGAAGGAUUUGAUGAUACUGAGCUGAAUCAUAUCACACUCAAACAACUUCGACAGCAAGUAACGCUGAUAGCAAAUGCAAUUGAAGCCACGUUCUCAAAGGGAGAUGCAAUUGCAAUUGACAUGCAAAUGACAGCCAGUGCUGUCAUUAUAUAUUUGGUCAUUGUUCUCGCAGGAUGUGUUGUAGUCUCAAUAGCUGAUAGCUUUGCACCAAAAGAAACCGCAACUCGCCUGCACAUAUCUAAGGCAAAGGGUAUAUUCACACAGAAGGAUAAUGUAUCUAAUCAGUGCAAGCAUAUAGUCCACCUUCUCGCAAAUGAGCAAUCUCGGCUUCGAAUUCCAGAUGCAACUGAUCCUGUAAUUCUUUGUUUCUUUCUGAUAUCUCGCCUUCUCCUUGUCUGAUUCAGAUGUUAGGGCAUUGCAGGUAAGGUUUUGAGUUUCUCCAUGGACAUUGUCUUUGUUUUUGCUCGUGGUGGACUUUGUGCUCUGCUUGACCAACAGGCCCAUGCGCGUGCCAUGGAGUCUCUGGUGCAAGCCAAAAUGCGGCACAAGGAGUUUAUUAUAUUGUGCCUUGAAGAUUGUAGUGACUGGAGCAAUGCUACUACAAGGUUAACUGUGGUACUGCUGUUUUUCUAAAGCCAGAGUUUUACUCCUGUAGUAAAUUGAAUUCGUUGAACUUUGGGGUGGGUUUAACAUACAAAAUCUUCAUUAGCAACCUUGGCAAUAUAACGGCCUACUUCUGCGAUUGCUCUCAACAUGCAGAUUUUGAAAUCCUGACUAUUUAGAAGGUAUUCAUAAAUCCCCUUCAUUUUGAAUUAAUUUGAUCAACUUUUAUUAUGCUAAACAAUGCAGGUGGAUAUAUUCGUUAGAGAUUGCUUUCUUUGUUAUGGCUGAUCAUAUAUAAAUCUGAAUUCAUGGUUAAAGUUUGUAUGUGGAUAAUAUUCUACAUUGACUAUUUUAGCAUCUAAGUUUGUAUGUGCUGAUCAUAUAUUACAUUUACUUUGUACACAUGUUUUCCAAUUUAAAAUUAUAUUUUUAGAGAAAGAAGCCCAUGCAUUUGUAAUCUAUAACAAAUUUACAUACUAUUGUGAAUUUACAAAUUUUAACUUAUUUGCAUCAUCUUUCUUUGUUUCUUC